rnacentral:rRNA from 1 species
GAUAAACGCUAGCGGCAGGCUUAACACAUGCAAGUCGAGGGGCAGCAUAGAUUGUAGCAAUACAAUUGGUGGCGACCGGCGCACGGGUGCGUAACGCGUAUGCAACCUACCCGUCACAGGGGGAUAAUCCGGAGAAAUCUGGUCUAAUACCCCAUAACAUAUGGAUCGGCAUCGGUUCAUGUUGAAAUUUUCGGAGGUGACGGAUGGGCAUGCGUAGCAUUAGGUGGUUGGUGAGGUAACGGCUCACCAAGGCGACGAUGCUUAGGGGGACUGAGAGGUUUUCCCCCCACACUGGUACUGAGACACGGACCAGACUCCUACGGGAGGCAGCAGUGAGGAAUAUUGGUCAAUGGGCGCAAGCCUGAACCAGCCAUGCCGCGUGCAGGAUGACGGCUCUAUGAGUUGUAAACUGCUUUUGUACGAGGGUAAAGUGGGUUACGUGUAACCUUUUGGAAGUAUCGUACGAAUAAGGAUCGGCUAACUCCGUGCCAGCCGCCGCAGUAA